rnacentral:rRNA from 1 species
CUCUCCUUUGAAGCAUUUACUAUGAGAUNGGGCCNCGUUGCAUUAGGUUGUUGGUGGGGUAAUGGCCUACCAAGGCAACGAUGCAUANCUNNUCUGAGAGGAUNAUCAGCCACACUNGAACUGAGACACGGUCCAGGCUCCNACGGGAGGCAGCAGUAGGGAAUAUUGCGCAAUGGGGGAAACCCCNANGCAGCAAUGCCGCGUGAGUGAGGAAGGCUUCGGGUUGUAAAGCUCUGUCAGAGGGGAAANANNNAAGUUGGUCNAAUAGGCCUUCUGUUUGACGGUACCUUCNAAGGAAGCACCGGCUAACUUGAUUGAUAAGUCAGAUGUGAAAUCCAGGGCUCAACCCNNNAACUGCGUCNUNUAAAACUGUUGAUCAGAGUUGUAGGGGAGAAGGGAAUUUCGCAUGUAGGGGUAAAAUCCGUAGAGAUGCGAAGGAACACCAGAGCNNAAGGGGCUUCUCUGGGCAUACACUGAGCUGAGGCGCNAAAGCGUGGGUAGCAAACAGGAUUAGAUACCCUNGUAGUCCACGCCGUAAACGAUGAGUACUAGAUUUUGGCCUUUGACCNCUUCAGNGUCGCACUAACGCAUUAAGUACUCCGGCCUNGGAAGACGGUCGCAAGACAGUUGGGCACUCUAAGGAGACUUCCUNGGUUNACCAGGAGGAAGGUGGGGAUGACGUCAAGUCCUNAUNGCCCUUAUGUCCAGGGCUACACACGUNAUACAAUGGUGCAUACAAAGGGACGCGAACCCGCGAGGGUGAGCAAAUCUCAAAAAGUGCAUCUCAGUCCGGAUUGGAGUCUGCAACUCGACUCCAUGAAGUUGGAAUCGCUAGUAAUCGCGGAUCAGCACGCCGCGGUNAAUUCGUUCCCGGGC